CCCCAACGGUCCAAGUCGUCAAGUUUCUGGUAUUGACGUGUUUAUUGUGCAGGAUUGGACGCGCUUUACAUGAAUGAGGCGCGUGGAAAGAUCUUGACGUUAACAUUACUUAUAUGAUGUGACGCCCCCAAAAUAGGUAUACAACACCCAUUCUGAGUCGCCAAAAUACAUGGUAUAGAAAGCAAACUACAACUUUGACAAUACAGAUGUCGUGUAGAAUACGAC
rnacentral:lncRNA from 1 species